rnacentral:rRNA from 1 species
AAACCAGCACCUCAAGUGGUCAGGAGGAUUAUUGGGCCUAAAGCAUCCGUAGCCUGUUCUGUAAGUUUUCAGUUAAAUCCAUUAGCUCAACUAAUGGGCUGCCGAAAAUACUGUAGAACUAGGGAGUGGGAGAGGUAGACGGUAUUCGGUAGGAAGGGGUAAAAUCCUUUGAUCUAUUGAGGACCACCUGUGGCGAAGGCGGUCUACCAGAACACGUUCGACGGUGAGGGAUGAAAGCUGGGGGAGCAAACCGGAUUAGAAACCCCGGUAGUCC